UACGGGGGGGGCAAGCGUUGUCCGGAAUUACUGGGCGUAAAGAGCUCGUAGGUGGUUUGUCGCGUUGUUCGUGAAAACUCACAGCUCAACUGUGGGCGUGCGGGCGAUACGGGCAGACUGGAGUACUGCAGGGGAGACUGGAAUUCCUGGUGUAGCGGUGGAAUGCGCAGAUAUCAGGAGGAACACCGGUGGCGAAGGCGGGUCUCUGGGCAGUAACUGACGCUGAGGAGCGAAAGCGUGGGGAGCGAACAGG
rnacentral:rRNA from 1 species